rnacentral:rRNA from 1 species
AGAGUUUGAUCCUGGCUCAGAGUGAACGCUGGCGGCAGGCUUAACACAUGCAAGUCGAACGCACCUUCGGGUGAGUGGCAGACGGGUGAGUAACGCGUGGGAACGUGCCCUUCAGUUCGGAAUAACCCAGGGAAACUUGGGCUAAUACCGGAUACGUGCGAGAGCAGAAAGAUUUAUCGCUGAAGGAUCGGCCCGCGUCUGAUUAGCUAGUUGGUGGGGUAAUGGCCCACCAAGGCGACGAUCAGUAGCUGGUCUGAGAGGAUGAUCAGCCACAUUGGGACUGAGACACGGCCCAAACUCCUACGGGAGGCAGCAGUGGGGAAUAUUGGACAAUGGGCGCAAGCCUGAUCCAGCCAUGCCGCGUGAGUGAUGAAGGCCUUAGGGUUGUAAAGCUCUUUCGGCGGGGACGAUAAUGACGGUACCCGCAGAAGAGGCCCCGGCUAACUUCGUGCCAGCAGCCGCGGUAAUACGAAGGGGGCUAGCGUUGUUCGGAAUCACUGGGCGUAAAGGGCGCGUAGGCGGCUUGAUAAGUCGGGGGUGAAAGCCUGUGGCUCAACCACAGAAUUGCCUUCGAUACUGUCUGGCUUGAGACCGGAAGAGGUAAGUGGAACUGCGAGUGUAGAGGUGAAAUUCGUAGAUAUUCGCAAGAACACCAGUGGCGAAGGCGGCUUACUGGUCCGGUUCUGACGCUGAGGCGCGAAAGCGUGGGGAGCAAACAGGAUUAGAUACCCUAGUAGUCC